AAUAGGANCCCUCAGUAUGGCGAAUGNCNGGGAUGAGCUCAGUAUGGAAAUUGGGGCCUGUGGCCUUGAAUUGUAGUCUGGAGAUGUACCACCAACUGGGGCGCAGAUGUAAGCCUCUUGGAAAAGAGCAUCAAUGAGGGUGAGAGUCCCGCUUGGCAUCUGCAGUCCCCAGUGCACGGUGUACCUUCUAAGAGUCACGUUCCUCGGGAUUGGAGCGCAAAUCGGGUGGUAAGUUUCAUCUAAAGCUAAAUAUAGUUUCGAGACCGAUAGCAAACAAGUACCAUGAGGGAAAGGUGAAAAGGACUUUGAAAAGAGAGUUAAAAGUGCCUGAAAUUGCUGAAAGGGAAGCGAAUGGAACCAGCGUAACUUGGCGAGAUUGCUGCGUGUCAAUGUGAUUGCUUGCUGCUUCAACGUAAGUGUUGUAGUAAGUCUUGAACAGGACAUGCGCGGUGCUUCUUGCCUUGUGUGUCACCGUCAGUUCGCAACUGGGGAAAACUUCAGGGACAUGGUAGCCUGUCUCCGGGUGGGUGAACGUGUUUGCUGGAACUCAUUUGCGGAUUGCUUGGUGACUAAAUGGUUCCAUCUGACCCGUCUUGAAACACGGACCAAGGAGUCUAACAUAUGUGCAAGUUCACGGGUGUUAAACCUGCUUGCGUAAUGAAAGUGACUGCUGGGAUUUUUGCACCAGCAACCGACCAAUCAAUUGAGAGAGGUUUGAGUAUGAGCAUAUCUGUUAGGACCCGAAAGAUGGUGAACUAUGCCUGUGAAGGGCAAACUCAGGGGAAACUCUGAUGGAGGCUCGUAGCGNNCU
rnacentral:rRNA from 1 species